UAUUGGGCAUCGUCCGCCGUAAAGGCGGGCGUGCCUCGAAGACCUCGGCGGGGUUUCUCCAACUUCGGGCGUAGUAGAGUUAAAUCAAAACGUCUUAUAAGCUUGGUGAGAUCUCAUUGCCGUUAAACCUUUUAUAUUUUUCAGGUUGACCUCGGAUCAGGUAGGGAUACCCGCUGAACUUAAGCAUAUCAAUAAGCGGAGGAAAAGAAACCAACAGGGAUUGCCCUAGUAACGGCGAGUGAAGCGGCAAUAGCUCAAAUUUGAAAGCUGGCCUUCUGGUCCGCAUUGUAAUUUGUAGAGGAUGCUUUUAGGCAGCCGCCGGUCUAAGUUCCUUGGAACAGGACGUCAUAGAGGGUGAGAAUCCCGUAUGUGACCGGCUCUGGCACCUUAUGUAAAGCUCCUUCGACGAGUCGAGUUGUUUGGGAAUGCAGCUCUAAAUGGGAGGUAAAUUUCUUCUAAAGCUAAAUACUGGCGAGAGACCGAUAGCGCACAAGUAGAGUGAUCGAAAGAUGAAAAGCACUUUGGAAAGAGAGUUAAAAAGCACGUGAAAUUGUUGAAAGGGAAGCGCUUGCAAUCAGACUUGGACUUGGCUGUUCAACCGGUCUUCUGACCGGCCUACUCAGUCUUGUCCAGGCCAGCAUCAGUUUCGGCGGCCGGAUAAAGGCCCUGGGAAUGUAGCUGUUCCUUCGGGGACAGUGUUAUAGCCCAGGGUGUAAUACGGCCAGCUGGGACU
rnacentral:rRNA from 1 species